CACUGGCCACUUCCCACUGGAACUCAUGUGGAGCAAAAAUUAAACUUCCAAAAGCACCACUUUGAUCCUUUUCCUUCCCUAUUCGAACACUUCCCUGGAUGCCAAUUUCCAAUUGAAAUAAAGUCAAAACUUGAGGAUUGGCAUGAAAAGAAGGAUCCAGGUUUGUGCUGACAUGGGCUUGGUCCUAGGAUGGUGGGAAGAAGAAAGAAAAAAAUGAGCAAGUCAAGCAAGACUUGAUGGUUGGAAUACAGGAGCUGAGAGAAGGUAGCAUUACCAAGAAUUAUGGGCUUGAACCUAGAAGACUGGAAAACGAGCAAAAGGCAAAAAUAGAGAAGUGCACAUUUAGAAGAUGUGUUGAGGUGAAAAGACUCAGGGCUUUUGCAAUAUCACCUACCACUGAGUAUGCACUUAGAGGGACAUAGGAGGGACACCAUAGAUGCUUGCUGAGCAAAUAAAUAAAGAAAUGAAUGAAUAAGCCUCCUAUUUGCAUUACGUCCAUCGUUUCACUUUGUAACAACCUUAGUUGGGGGUUCUUAUUAUUAUCACAAUUUUACUGAUAUCUAAACCAAGACUCAGAGAGGACACACAAUUUUCCCAAUAUCCUCCGGUAAAUGAGAGGCAGUGCUGAGAUGUGAAGCCAGGUCAACUCGAUGUCACAGUCCAUCUAGCACGUUCUGCCCUCUGGAAGCAUCUAAUUGUGUAGCACCUGGAGACGUGGAGCUGUGGGACACAUUUGCAAAAGGCGAUUGUUUAUCGUCAAAGCUGCAGGAGACACUAGGGGAAUGUUGCAGAGGACAAAAAUGUAGACAUUCUGGACCUCAGCAGUGGGAAGUUUUGGAGAUAGAGGAAGCGGAACUCUUGAAGGGAAUAGAAGAGAAGACCUAACAAAAGAAGAAUCACGGAACAAAAAGAGAAAGGAGAUUUGUCAGCAAAUAUGUGAUUAACAACAUGACAAGCUACAGAAAUAGUCUUAACAGGAGCAGUGAGGCAGCCUGGUUUGAAUGGAAGGAAAGAGCCUGGACCACAGCAGAUAGGCUGUGUUAGAACCACCCUUCUGUUUGAAGCUUGAGCACAGAGGGGAGAAAAAAUAACUUUUUUUCACAUACUGCAAGGGACAUGGUGGACGCUCCUAUAAUAAAAGAUUAACAAGAGAAAAGCAUAACAAAUUUAUUUUAAAAGUUUUUUGUGACUCAGGAGGCUUCAGAAAUAAAAAAACCCCAAAGAUCCAGGGAAAACGUUGUAAAUCUGACGAAACGGUAAAUCUGACGAAAGAAGUGUGAAGAAAUGUGAUUGGACAACAGAAAGGGGCGGAGCCUUAUGGUAAUGAACUGUGGGGGGCGGGAGCGUGUUGCUGAGAGAGGCCUAUUUGUUCAGACGCUUCUCGGCCUCUCUGUGCUGCAUUUCUUUCCUCCAGAUAUAGGGCGGUUCAUCUCUCACAUGAGGGUCUUACGAUCUACUUGCAGGAAAGGUUGGCCAAAUUAUCCAGUGGCUUUAGUACAGAAACACAUCAAUAGACAAUUGUGCAGACUCACAAAUACAGCAAGAAGGAAAGAAGUGACAAAGGGAGGGAAGAAGUAAGGGAGAAGGAUGUUAGAAGCAAUUCUUUCCUAAGAUGAAAGACGAUGCGAGGACACAGUGAGAAGAUAGCGCCCACAAACCAGAAAAAGAGAGCUCACCAGAAACCAACCCCGACAACAUCUUGAUCUUGGACUUCCAGCCUCCAGAACUGUGAGAAAAAAUAUUUUUGUUGUUUAAGUCACCAGUCUGUGGUAUUCUGUUAUGGUUGCCCAAGCAGACUAAUAUAGUAUACAAAAACUUGUAUUGUCACAAUUUACAUGUUUAUGCAUUGUAUGCCCACAAACACAGAUUUACAACUUUUGCUCUAUGUAACUGUCUUUUAAGUCAGAUAAGAAAAAAAAAAGGAGUUACAACAAAAUACA